ensembl:lncRNA
GUUAGGUAGCCGGGCGCCGGGGGCGUGGAGGGCUGCAGAGUGGAGCCCAGGACAGCUGCGAUCCUGCUCGGGUUGCUUUCCUUCCUCCGUCGCCUUCUCCCUUUGCUCUGCGCUGGCCACACGGUGGGACGCCCGCGGCGACAGAAGUCUGGGCGCCCUUGUCUGAAACCUCCUGGCGAGCCUGACAAGCAGCCGCGGAGAGCAAGAUCCAUGUUCACUUAUUCCCUGGUCUAGGAGUGGAAUUUCUGGGACAUACGAUCCUUAUCCAUUAUGUUAUUACAAAUUGAAUAUAUUGAAUAUAGUUCACUGUGCUAUACAUAUCUUCCAGAGGCAAGAGGUGGCUGGAGUCAGUGCAGAGCCAUCCAAGAAAUGCACAUCUGCCAGAAUUUCAGCUCAGCUUCCUUGCCUCUGGCAGGCUCAGCAGCCUGGACGCAGACGCAGCAGUGUGGAUGAUUGCAUUGAUCCAGACUUGGAAGUUGUGCGGCAGUGACCUAGGACCACAAUAAGGAAAUCUCUUGAAAGAAUAUCCCUGCAUUCUUUGUAAAAUCUACAGGUGUGGUAUCCUCUUGUGAUAUCAAGAUUUGGGGAAAUGUUCUUCAAAUGUCCCCUCGUCCUUGCAUUGACUCUGAUUCUGCAGACUCUUAGAAGAAGUAGAGUUAUCAGCCUGCAAGAGAACGUUCCAGAGAGGAUUGAGCUCACCUUCUGGAGAAUCUAGAGAAGGAUGUUUUACCAUUUCCCUCGCUGUUCUAAAUUUUAGCAGCAACACAUAAGUUCUGCACAGUCUCGGAGUCCCUUGGGAUUACGGACUGCUGGAGGGCAGGAACUAUAUGACUUUCUUUUCUCCUUCAGCUCGCUCUCACAGACCUUUAAAAUCUCAUGUGCUAAAUGACUAAACAAGUGGUAAGUGGGCAGAUAUCUUUUCCUUCCUACCAUCUCUUGCCCCUUACUCUUUUUUGUUUGUAUGUCUGUAUUUUAGGGCUGCACCCUCCUCACAUGGAGGUUCCCAGGCUAGGGGUCAAAUCAGAGCUGCAGCCGCCAGCCUAAACCACAGCCACAGCAAUGCAGGACCCGAGCGGCAUCUGCGACCUAUACCAAAGCUCACGGCAACGCCAGAUCCCUAACCCACUGAGCGAGACCAGGGAUGGAACCCACAUCCUCAUGGAUACUAAUUGUGUUCGUUACCUGCUGAGCCACAACGGGAGCUCCCUCUUGCCCCUUACUCUUUGAGCUCACUGGGCCCAGCUCUAGAUAGAGUUGUGAGGCAGAUCAAGUUUGCUUUGGUGCCCUUUGCCCACCUGGUGUUCCUUUCUCCUGAAUGCCCAGUGUGUCCUCCUCGCCACGAUCAUUUCACUCUCAAAUCGCAGAGUUGCGUGUUCUUCCCAGGUGGCAUUCCAGGCCUUGUCUGCGCUUCUGCAUUAUGUGUCCUAAAUCUUGCUCUCUUUAAUGAUGCCACAGAGUCAGGGUCAGGACACCAGCUCUGGCCUCAGCAGGCAAUGAGGGGACAGAUGGCACUUCCCUCCAUCUCUCGUUAUCUCCAAACCCCGAGCCCACCCCUGGUGGACAGCACUUACCACCUCCCAAGCCCCCUUCCCCCUCUCUGAGGACAGUUUUGUGUGACCCCAGGUUGUUUGGUUUUGAAGGGGGGGUAAGCCACAGAGAUAGAGCAACCCCUUCUUGGAUCACCGUACCUCCCACUGCUCAUGGUUCAGAGCGCCUGUCCUCCCAAGUUGAUCUACUGAGAAAAGUAUAAGCUCCUGCCAGGUCAGCCGUUUCCUUCCACGCAUGGGUUAUCCUGUCCUACGUUGGCCACGGGAAGGGAAGGAAACAAACAUUUUGUUUCAAUUAGGGAAAAACGGUAUUGAGGAUUUACUCUUUACUUCAUCUGUUAAACAAAUCAUCACAUGCCCGCUAUACACAAAUAGAUUUAUGAUAACAGUGACUUCUGUAGGAUGUUAGUUUCUUUUCUCUUUGCUCCAUCAGCAACAUUCUCCAGGGAAACUCGAAGAAUUGUAAAUGGCUCCGUAACAAAGGCAAAUGACACUGAAACAUAUUUAACAUUAAGCAACUUCCAAACUACCAUCAACAGAUGUUUCCAGGUUUCGUUUAAAAGCAAAAAACAACUUGAGUACCCGGUGUGAACAUAAAGUGAUAGGAUUGUUAUCUUCUAAAAAUAAACCUGAGUGGGUGUACCCAUCCAAAGACACAAUCUCCCAGUUAGUUUAGCCACCUUGAGCAUCUGAGUCCUGGUUCUACUGAUGUGGCCACAAUGGCUUGUCUUGGGGACUAAAGCUAGACUUCACCUCCUCUGUCAGGAAGCUGGUCCUCAGCCCCGAGUCUGACUCUGAUGCUUUUCUUCUGGGCUCCCUGUGCUUACACCUGUCAAACACUCGUUACCCUGGACUGUCUGUCUCCCUUACCUGGCUGGGUGUUCCCUGAAGGUAGGGGAGAGGUCUUGUUUGACUUUGUAUCCCUGGGGCCAAGCAGUUGCUCAGUAAAUAUUUGUUAAUUGAAAAAUAUCUGCGUCAUAUUUUUUGGACCAACUGCAACGAUAGCAAAUCUUUCUUCUUUUAAUGGAGGAUAUGAUUUUUGGCAAACAGAUGUUAUUGAGAAACAUGUUGGGUAAAUAAGGUAUUCAACAAACUGAAGAACUCUGUCUCUAUUUAAAAAUGAGCUGUGAUCACAAGGUAUUGACUACUUUGCUUCUGUGAUUCAUAAACUGGCUCUGAAAACAAUCCCAAAGAAGGAGUUACGAAAGGUUUUGAGCCAGAGAAGCUUCCCAGGGCAAUAUCUUUGAAAGACUUUGUUCAUCAAUUUAUUUAAGAUCCAAUACGUGUUCAGAGAAAAAUCAAACAUUUGUCUUGAAAAGUACUGGAUACCUGCUCUAGGGAGCAGAACGUGCCAUUUAGAGGUUAAGAGCAUCAUUCGGAGCUGGACAUCUUGGGUUCUGAUCCUGCUGCUGCAGCUAAGUUAGCUGUGGAGUCUUGGACAAGUUACUCAC